rnacentral:miRNA from 1 species
UCUUUCGAGUUUACUGGGCU